UGGUGCUUCUAUAAAUACCAAAGGGCAGAGACAGUCAGGGCUCAUUGGAAAAGGUUCCAGGCCCUCUCGAGGCUAUCCUGUAUUUUCUAUGUUUAUCUCCACAUUCUAAAUCCUAAUAUUUCCUGAUGCUGUCACUCAAGAAAACUCUGGGGAACUGUGGGGUUGGUGGGUAAACGCCCCGCACUAGGGUGCCUGGGCUGUGGGUUCUCUGGAUCUCGCUCUCUUCUGGCAUCUUCCCCCAGGAACUAAAAGGCAUCCUGGUGACGGGUAGAGGGUGGGGACUUGAGAGGAGAGCCACUGCUGUCUCUCUUUCCUCUCCUGGCAGACUCGUGGCGCGUGCUGGGAUAUUGAGAACUGUCAGCAGAGGCGCAGGGAAGGUCAGCUCAGGCUCCACCCGCUGACUCUCCUUGCAUUUUCACAAACACUUGUCUUUUCCCAAAGUGUCAUGUGUGUGGCCAGCAGGGACAUCUGCUCUUGGCCAUUUAAGCCUCCCUUGGUACAACUGCCAACUCCUCCCAGGCUUCCUGAAGCCAAGGAAGGCCGGCACCAGGACCCAAACAACCCCCGUCUCAGCCCAUCUUAGAAGGGGUUCAUUUUUCCUGGGGAUAUCUAGCCCUUUGAGAACACACAUUACGAAUUCAACUUGAAAACAAAUCUUUUGUUUUGUUUCAAUUAGAAGGAAAAUCCAAACGAAUGUUCCCUGGACUCUUCUCCUCUGUGUUAUCUGAAUAUUUUCAUCCAUGCUUACUGGCCCUGAUCUUCCUGUUCUCAGCUUUAAAAUAUGAAUUAUGUAAUCCCAAUUUCUCUAGUUCUGAUGGUUAAAGGAGUUCCCAUACCAUAGAGAGAUGCGGGAAGUGCCCCCAAACUCCUCUUGGCGUCAUUUGUAGAAAUUCUCAGAUGUUUCUGCAGCGAUGUGCACACUGAUGUUCAGCAGAACGUUGUGUGGCGUACCCUCAGAUUAGGGCCAUGGCUUCCUGCAUGGAGAAGGCGUCUUGGCUCUGGAGAAGGCUUCGUGGAAGGAAGCGAUCAGUGAUGGCGUCCUGCCUCUUGAUGAUUCUGUCUGCUGUGGCUGUCACUCACUUUCCUCCAGAGCAUCCAGCUUCCACUCCAGGACUUGGUCCCAUGGAGCCCCAGGGGGAAAUGGGCAUGCCUGACCCCAACAUUUGGCAGACUUUGAACCCUAGCCAGAGGCAGCAGGCAAAAAACCUGGGCUUCCAGAAAGGCCAGGCUUUGCCCAGAAAUUCCAUCCUGGUCUGUGCCGAGAAGCAAAGCCACAGAAGGCGACCAGACAGAAGCGGACACCCACUGAGGGUCAGGAGAGGUGUUGCUGUGACAGGAGGUCCGACACUCAGUGCCCACCAUCCUGUGCUUCUGAUGGAGAAUGAGGUCAGAGAUGCAGGAGGCACAGCCCUCGAACAGCCUGGGCAAGAUGGUCCUGUCCAAGAGACACAGAGUAAGAAAGACACCCUGGUUAGCCCACUCACAGGGAGCAGCCAGGCAACUUUCCAGGCAUGGAGAGGGACUGCUGCAGUGAGCUUUAGGCCCCAACCAUCAGAAGGUGAGGAUUCCCUGCCCGGAGCCAGGGCCAGAGUCUUGACUGGUGGGAAGGCUGGGGGUGUGACCUCAGGUUCUGGGACUCACUGGUGGUCUGGCUCUGCUGGAGAGCUGAGAAGGUCCUCGUGGUGCCACACUGAGACCCCUGGGUUAUUGGCCAGUGCUGCGGCUGGGGGGCAGGUUCCACCCUGGUUCACAGAACACGAUGUUCAGACUCUCUGGCUGCUGGCCCAUGGGGAGGUGGUGGGCAAAGCCAGGGUCCCGGCCCAUGGGCAGGUGCUGCAGGUCGGACUAUCUGCUGACGGUGCCCUCCAGGACAUGUCUCCUCUCAGGCUCAGCCAGCUCUGCUCCCAGGGCCUCUGUGGGCUGGUGAAGAGGCCCAGUGACCUGCAUGAAGUCCUGUCCUUUCAUGUGGACCGUGUGCUGGGACUCCAGCGGAGCCUGCCUGCUGUGGCCCGGAGCUUCCACAGUCCUCUUCUGCCCUACCGCUACACGGACGGUAGUCUGAGGCCCAUCAUCUGGUGGGCACCCGACGUGCAGCACUUGGGAGACCCAGAUGAGGACCAGAACUCUCUGGCCUUGGGCUGGCUGCAGUACCAGGCCCUGCUGGCACGAGGCUGCCGCUGGCCAGGCCAGAUGCCGUGCCUGGGCAUCCACCGUGCCGAGUGGGCGCGUUUGGCCCUCUUCGACUUCCUGCUGCAGAGCCCCUCUGUUCAUCUCCAGGGCUGUAGCGUGGGACCCUUCCUGGGCUGCCAAAUUCUGACAGAAAUCUCUGCAGCCAAGGUGCACAUAGGUCAGCUGUGUGGUCAGACACCACUGGGCUGGGACCACGCCACCUUUCCCAGUGUGCUGGACAGCAGUCAAGAAAAGCAACCAUCUGGCUGGCAACACCUUCCUAGAAACCUCAGCGAGGCUGCAGAAUGUGCGAGUCUGCAUGGGCACCUGGGGUGCCCUGUGACCCACGGCUGGCCACAAACCCCAGAGGCAGCUCACUGAGGCUGGUCUGCUGCCAGCCUCCCUCACACCCCUGUCAGCAAACUCAGAGGCCGGGAAGAACGUGCUGGGGUCUGGAACCACCAUGUUUCCCUGUGCAGGGGCCUUUUCUCCCUUGUGUUUCCUGGAGAGUCUAUCUCUAUUCAGAGAGAGAGAGAGAUUGAUUCCAUUGAAGUCCCCCAAACCUGAGUUUCUUGAGGUUGCUCACAGGAACAUGGGUGGGGUUCCCAGAGCUUGGACAAUUAUGCCACUGAGGAACCCCCACCCCAACAACUGUUAACUGCUUAUGGAUCCUGGGGGUGGGGCUCCUAAGUGUUGUGAGACAUUGUUCCCUGACCCUCCACAGGGACAGUUAGAGACCCCCCUCGUGAAGACCCCUGUGGGUAAUCUCAGCUACUCUUACUUCCAGUGGCAAUGACCACGUCACAGCUGAAAGAACAGCUCCACACUCCAGUCUGCCUCUCAGGCGCAUGCCACUGUCUGACUUGGGUGAUCUGUGGAGAAGUCAGGUCCAUGACCGCCUGGAUCGCUACUGCUGUGGCUUCGAGCCUGCACCCUCAGACCCCUGUGUGGAAGAGGGUCUCCGAGAGAAGUGUCAGAACCCAGAGGAGCUGCG